rnacentral:rRNA from 1 species
UUCCGGUUGAUCCCGCCGGAGGCGACCGCUAUUGGAAUUCGAUUAAGCCAUGCGAGUCGAGAGUCUUAGGGACUCGGCGUACCGCUCAGUAACACGUGGGUAACCUGCCCUGUGCUGGGGAAUAACCUCGGGAAACUGAGAAUAAUGCCCCAUAGUUCACCACGCCUGGAACGGUGAGUGGAUCAAAGCCCCGGCGGCAUAGGAUGGGCCUGCGCCGUAUCAGGUUGUAGGGGGUGUAAAGUACCCUCUAGCCAUCAACGCGUACGGGUGUUGGGAGACAUUGCCCGGAGAUGGAUUCUGAGACACGAAUCCAGACCCUACGGGGUGCAGCAGGCGCGAAAACUUGGCAAUGCGAGCAAUCGUGACCAGGGAACUCCAAGUGCGUAGGGUAAGACCUACGCUUUUCUUGACUCUACAAAGGUCUUGGAAUAAGGGGUGGGUAAGGACGGUGCCAGCCGCCGCGGUAAUACCGGCGCCUCAAGUGGUAGUCGCUUUUAUUGGGCCUAAAACGUCCGUAGCCGGUCUGGUGCAUUCGUGGGUAAAUCAACCCGCUCAACGGGUUGAAUUCUGCGAGCACGGCCAGACUUGGGACCGGGAGAGGUGUGGGGUACUUUCGGGGUAGGGGUAAAAUCCUGUCAUCCCGAAAGGACCACCUGUUGCGAAGGCGCCACACUAGAACGGAUCCGACGGUCAGGGACGAAACCUAGGGGCACGAACCGGAUUAGAUACCCGGGUAGUCCUAGGUGUAAACGCUGUGGACUUGAUGUUGGGGGUGCUCCGAGCUCCCUCAGUGUCGAAGCGAAGGUGAUAAGUCCACUGCCUGGGGAGUACGGUCGCAAGGCUGAAACUUAAAGGAAUUGGCGGGGGAGCACUGCAACCUGAGGAUUGUGCGGUUUAAUUGGAUUCAACGCCGGA